rnacentral:lncRNA from 1 species
AAAGUUCUAAGGUUGGAUUAUACAAUAUCUUUAGCUUCUCUAAAUGGAAUGUUGGAUUAUUUUCAUCCCAUUUCUCACCUUCAAAGCUUGAAGGCCUUGUAACAUCGACUUGACAAUAUAUGGUUUGAUGUUGCCCUCUCAAAUUCAUCAAAUCUGUUGAAGGCAUCUUUCAAAUUGAAAAAUUGGCUUUUUAAUUCUCCCUUUAGAAAUAAAGGAAAGUUUUAGUUCAUAACAUUUAGUUAUAUCAAUUGUUUAUUAAUAGUUCUA